rnacentral:lncRNA from 1 species
CAACGUCGACAAAUUAUAUAUUCCUGAUCAAUUCUCUAGACAAAGCCCAUGAAAGGGAGGAUUAAUAUAUUUGUUGGCAGGAAAACAAAAACGUCCAGUUACGACUGUGGGUAAUGGACCGAACACAUAUAUAUAAAGAUGAUUAGAUGGGUCUUUAAGUCCCUUGGAAGUGCUUAGUUAGCUCUUUCGUAGGACAUCAUUAGUUACCUUGUGAUGACUGUUGUAAACAGUCAAAAGGUAGUAAUAUUUUGUUACCGUUGUGAUAAACAAAAGAAAAAAAA